CCGUGAGACGUGAGGGCUGUGAGCGUUGGUGGCAGUGAGUGGAGCGGUGUGUUUGUCUGUUUGACGUUGUUGGCUUUCCGUUUUAUUUUUUUUGUGAAUGUACAAAAGUUGUACCUCCUUACACUAUAUCGAAAAAGAUACUCCUUGUUUAAUUACAGAUGAAUAAAAGUUUCAGUUAUUUGUUACUGGAAUGAACAAAACAGUUUGCAAUAUGUGAAGUUGUUGCAAAAAGGCAAAUCCAAAGUAGAACUUUUUCUUGAUAUAAUUUACUUAUUAAAAUGGGCGAAAAUAGAGCAGAAAUUAACGGCAGAGGGGAACAAUUUGAAAUGCUGAAAGCUCUGUAUAACUUCAAAGCAACAUUUGCCAAGACUCUUAGCUUUCAAGAAAAUGAUAUCUUUAUUCUUCAUCAAGUAAACACAAAACAACGCAACUGGUGGCAGGUGGUGAACUCUGUGGGACAAGUUGGAUAUGUUCCUUCAAAUUAUGUGACAGCCAUUCAGGUUAGUGUUGAAUGUUGGGUACAGUUCUUAGAUGGGUGUUUGGAAGUUCUGCGGGGAGAAGGAGUGCAAAGUGGUGGGUGCUUGGCUACUGACCGGCAAGAUCUGUUGCUUCGUCUGUUGGAACGGAGAAGGAAAGCUGAGUUGUGUUCUUCUAACUCAGGGAAGAGGCAUGCUCCACUUCCACCUGACUUCCACGUGAGCAUUUCCUCGAGUACAUCUCCAAAGCUGCGACAUGCUAUGGCAAGUGAUGGAAUGGCACCUGAUGGAAUUUCACAUUUAUCUCCUAGUGGUACUUCCUCAAAUUCAGCUGCUGUCUCCUCAUUAAGGAGUGCUGGAAGUGACGCAGUGGUCAAUCAGUCAAGUCAGAGAAAUUCACCUAAACCACAGUCAAGUAUGCCGAAUCAUGUUACACCAGGUAGCUUGGCUGCACGACAGGUGAUUCACGUUACCAUGUCUGAUACAUCUCACUGUCGUGUUAACAACAUAGCUGAAGACAGGCAUCAUGAAAUGAAGAAAGUAUCUUCCGUGGUUUCCGCCACAGUGACAGCUUUACCUACCAAAUCACCAUUAUUUGAAGACAGUGCAUCGUCUGAUGCCAGAAAUGAUCCAGGGUCAUCAGUUGCUUACCAGCUAGUAGAAAAGGUUCGGAAACAUACACAGCUGAGCCAUGAGAUGUCUCGUGUAGCAGUGGCAGUUGUUGUAGGUGGUCUUUGUGAUCUUCUUCCACAUUCAGUUACUCCUCAGUUGAAUGCCAUGCUUUUGCAUUUGCAAGGACCUCUUGCAGCGCCAAAGCUAUUCAUUGAGGAGACUCAUGAUGCUCAUAGAUUGAGAGUCAUUUUCACUGAACUCACAUCUUGUAAGGAAGACUCACAGCAAAGGAGUUGGAUGCUUUAUGAAGAUGAAACAACGAUUAUUGAAUAUAUUCAGGAACUUAUAUCUAUACUGACAAAUGCAGAUGCAAACAUUUCCCGACAUGUGAUGUCCGGAGAUAAGUAUCAUGGAGUUAGUAGUCUAGUGCAGUAUUAUCAAAUGGAGAUUCGUUGGUCCAUACGUCAGUUGCUUCUCCAGGCCUUUGGUGUCAUGUGUAGUCUUGAUCCUACAGUUGUCACUCUUAUGCUCAACUCAGUUCUGCCGAUGGAACUUGCUCGAGAUAUGCGAACCAAUCCAAGGGAUAUACCACGUCUCAACUACUCUUCACUUCUGCUCUCAAUGAUCUUUUCAAUGGGAGAACCCAUGCCAGUCACACACAUGGAACAUUUAGGUCUUGACUUUGUGUCAUUCCUGUUCGACCUGAUUGAAUGUCCUCCUGAUACUGAUGUGGAAGAGCAGAUUCCAGACCUGUUCGUGAACUUGGUGCUGGCUUAUAAUCUGCAGUUUGCAGCAGAUGUUGAGAACGUGAUGCUGAAAGCUCUGUUGCAAAGGCCCCUAGCCAAAAGUUUUACUGAGAAGACAUUACUUCUCCUCAACAGAGAAGUGGAUCCUGUUCGAAUUUUUGAGCAUCAGCCUGCUCCACCUCAUUCAGUUCUCAAGCUGUUUGUGGAUCUGUUCAGCACCUCUCAGACAGCUACACUCUUCUACACAAAUGAUACAAAGGUGCUCAUUGAUAUCAUUGUCAGACAGCUGGCUGACCUGUCACCUGGAGACAAUCGAAGACACCAAUAUCUGGAAUUGUGUCGGCUGGUAAUGCGAAACACAGCUUACUCUGAUCACCACCAUCGACGGGAUGACAUCCUUAAAUGCUUCACAAGAAUAUUCUGCGAGGAAACGGAACAAAGCAAAUCUGAUCAGCAGUUGGUGCGAGAAAUCUCCAAUGAAUUCCCUCAGUACUUCAAGGCCUAGAGAUGACUGCAGUCCAUCUUGAUGUGUAUGUGAGGCCAUUGUUCACAUAGAUUAGCUCAAUUUUAAGUAUUCAUGUAAUGAAUUAAAUGACCAAGGAGUACUAUUUUCUCUUAGAAUGUAACAAUAGAGGAGUUGGGGUAACUCAGUUGGUACGGCGAACAGAUUAUGUGCUGGAAGACUGAGGAGUUGAGGUUUGAUUCCUGAACCUCUUUGUGGCCCACCCAGCCUCCUAUGCAGUGGGUAUUAGGGACUGUUUUCUUGGAGGUAAAGUGGUAGAGGUGUGAAACUGCCCACUCCCAUGUAGUGCUGAGGCUAAGAAUGGUGCAUGUAAUGGGCACUCCCCAGUAUGUCUUCAUGGUAUAGUGCUUAAUUACUUGUACCUUCAUAUUAUAAUAGUUCUCAAUUUGUAUUUUUCUGCGUUUCUUUUAAUUUGUGGGAUUGUCGAUGUGUGAAGAGACAACCACUUAUUAAACUUCUAUACGAUUAUUUAUUGUCGCUAUACAGAAUAUACAGACAAAGUUAAGUUGAAGACUUGAAGGCUGCAGGUAGGUUGGUUGAAGAAGAUUGAUUCUUUCGAAUUGAGUCUUAUGUUACAACUGACAAUCAGUUGGCCAGUCUGUCUUGGAAUAAACCAACAAUCUGGGUCUUAUGAUGAGAUUUCUAUUACUGUUAGACAGUUGUAGGUUUGUUGAAGUGGGGCACUUUCUCUGACGAGAGGACGGGUCUGUUGUUUACAAUGGCUGCUGGCCCUCACCAGCGCAGUCAUUCUCAGGUUCAAGCCCUGUAGGAUUUCUACCAUAUUUUACUGUCCCAGAUUCAAGACUUCCCUUUUUGUUUACUCCUAUGACUUGCAGGGUUAUGGUGGAAGUAUUUGACCAUGCCUUCACAUGGGAUAAUGACUCUGGAUAGGGGCCUUCCUUAAAUAGUUUCAUUCCAACCAUGUAACGCAUAUUUGGGGUACCAUUCUGUUACUGUGUUAUCUUGAUUUGGUUCCAUGGAUACCUUCAUUACUGAUUCAUUGCAUAGCAAUGAAUAAUUCAUAGUGAUGAUUGUACAAUAAGUACAUUGUUGUUACAACGCUUGGUUUAGUGUGUGCGGUUCCCACAAAUUUUGUUUAGGAUGACAAAUUAUGUACACUGUAAUUAAAUUACAAAGUAAUUUACAAUACUUUUGUAAAAAUGACUUAUAUAGACGUUAUAAAUUAAACAAAUUCUUGGAAAUCAUUCACAUUAUACAGGGUAUGUCAGUGAAUCAGGCAAUUUUAAAAACUUUAUGAACAGUGAAUUAUUGCAUUUAUUUGGUUUUAACAUAUAUGAAUACAGUGUAAACAUAAAAGCAUUUGGUUUUUCUCAAUUAACUCACUGAAAACAGAAGUCCAUUUCCCAAAAAUAACAUCCGACAGAUGACCACCAUUCCGCUGUAGGCACUCGGUAAGUCUCUUCGUAAAGUCACUCAUUACUCUUUGCAGCAUCUCUACAGGAAUUUGUUCAACUUCUUCCCAAAUUUUAUGUUCAACUACUGAACUGUGUGGGGUGCUGGAGCUUUGAAAUCUUGGGAUUUCAUAUAUCCCCAGAUAAAAAAAUCCCAUGUGGAAAGCUCAGGUGACCUGGCUGGCCAUAUGAUGUCCCCAUAUCUGGAGAUAACACGAUGAGGAAACAGGUUAUUAACAACUGCCAUGGAAGCUUGUGUGGUGUGGCACAUAGUCCCAUCUUGCUGGAAAAACGUUUCUUCCUUGACUGGAAGAUGAGCAAGUGCAGGAGCUAAGAAGCUCUCCAACAUGUGAACGUAACGUGGUCCAGUCACAGUUACAACCCUUUCCCACUCAUCUUCAAAGAAGUACAUGCCAAUAAUUCCAAACAAAGAUAUCGCGCACCAUACUGUGACUUUGGAACUGUGAAGUGGUCUCAUAAAUUUCUUUGGGGUUUGUGGCUGACCAAUAGUGGAAAUUUUGCUUGUUAACAAACACUGAUAAAUGGAAAUGAGCUUCAUCGCUCAUCAGUAAGUUAUUAACAACAUCUUGGUUUUGAUUAAUUAAUUGUAAAAAAGUCUGGCAGAAAUCGACUCUGUUUUCAUAGUUGUGUUCGUGUAGUGCAUGAGUAAUUUGAAUUCUGUAGGGGUAGAAGUGGAGGUCUUUGUGCAAAAUCCGUCAAACGCUGGCUUCGGACAGCCUGAGUGAUGUAACAUGGCGAUGCAAGGACCAACGUGGACUUUAUUCAAUGGGUUCUCUCACUCCCGCUACAUUCCCGGGUGUAUGUGCUGUUUUUAUGCUACUACCUUUCUUCUUUAGUGUAGAACCAGUAGCCUCAAAGUUCUGAACCCAGGUCUUGAUGGUAUGGGUAGAUGGAACAGCACGAUUGCAAUGAAUACCAAACUCUGUUUGAAAUUCAUGCUCAGUGAUCCUGAAACUCACUGUUUUUGUAAAAUGCUUUCACAGCAAAAGCACGUUGUGCUCCAGUCCACGACACCAUUGCAACUAAAACGCUUUGAAGUAGGCUGCUGGGUGGCAGUAGUGGCAUCCUCCCACUCGAGCCAAUCUAUGAAAAAACACUGCUGCCAAAUUGCCAAAUUCAUUGACACACUCUGUAUGUUAUGUUAGAGAUAAAUUACUUGCUAGUGGUAUAUUAAAAAAUCACUAUUUCUGCACUGUCUUACCAUUCCAUAUUCAAAGUAAAACACUGCAAAAUAGAUCCUUCACUGCAUUACUAAUGAGUAAAUAAAAUUAUCAUAAUAUGCAGUGUAUAACUGAAAAGUUUUUUCUAUUAAGCGAGUAUAGCUAUGAGUAUACUGCUGGGGUUCAGUACCCGCCAGGUGGAAGAGACUUUUCUGUUCACAACGUCCAGACCAGCUCUGGGGCCAACCUGGCCUCCUAUCCAAUGGGUACCAGGGCUUUGCCUGCAGGAAUAAAGCAGCUGUGCAUUAAACUGACCACUCUGAUCUAUUGCAGAGAGUUUGAGGCCGGAAUGGUUUGUACAAGUUAUGUGUAGAAAAUGACAGAGUUCUGAAGGAAUCUUUGGAAGCAGAUCAUAAAAUGAAGACAGCUAUUCAGAAGACCAGUAGCUGGAUGGUAUGCUUAGAAAAGCAGAAUUUGGGAAUAUAAGAAUACAAAAAAAUUAAUAUAAGAGGAAAGGAUGGGGAAAGUUGGAACAUAAUGGAAUUACUUUAUUAUGAAAAUAUUAAGAAAUUAUGGUAUAUUACUCAUGUAACUGGUGGAGUACUGUAAUAAUUAAGGCUUAACAAAAAUCAGUCACAUAGAAAUGAUUGUUAUGACUGUCUGCAUAAUUAGUGAUUAAAGCAUACAAUAUCUUAUAAUAUUUAAACCAUAUAUUGCAUCUCAGGUUAUUGUUACAGGUAAGUAAUGUAGUUCCUUAUCAGGAAUAUGUCAGCUGUUAGGUUUCAUGUCCUGUCACAAUUUUAUUCUUUUAUGUGUUUUUCUUAAACUUAGGUUCACCUGAUAUUUGUUUGCUAUGAUCAUUCUUUUAUUAUGUUGUUUUUCAUCUUUAUGUGUUGUAUCUAAAAGGUGUGUACACAUGUAAAAUAUGAAUUGAUUUAUAGAUUUUACAGCUUUUCUUUCAAACCUUUUAGUCUCUCAUGAAUUUUUAACAAGAUAUACCAAGAAAGUUCAUUUAGCCCCAUAAAAUUAGUGGCUUUGAUUGACCACUGUGAACUGACGUGUUCAUUUUCAUAUGUAUUUUAACAUGAAUUCACUGAAGCUGUAAUAUUGGUCUUGUAGGUUGCAUAUGAGUUAGUAUUGUACUUGUCAGCAAUAAUUAACCUACAAAUAGAGAUAAAAACUUCUCAAUUUCUAAUCAUACUUUCACAUAGUGAUUUUCAGAAUUUAUUGUCUAUUAUCCAGAGAUUAAUAUAGUGACAAUUGCAUUUUCAUGGAAAGCCUAUUAUCACAUGUGUUACUGGUAACUUUUGAAGUGUUUUCUCUGUUACUACUCUCCUGUAGUUAUGAACUGAAGACUCUUAACAUUUAAUGAAAACUUGAUAUUAUUUUAAAUGUCUGUUAUAUGUAUUGAAAGUGUAAAUACUCAGUGGUAUCGCUCUGCAAAGAGCAUUAAUAUUUUUAUAAUAAUCAUGCCAGGAAAUUGGUUUCACAAUUUCCUGUGUUGCUUGUUAUCUGUUCAUCAGAUGAGUUGCUAGUCAUAGUCGCCUUCAGUAUAGCCACACCAUCUUCAUGCUGUACAUUUUCAUUAUGUUGUAUCCACCAGCAGUUUUUUGUGCAUUCUAGGUUCUUGUUCAGUCUUUUUAUCAGUCUGUGUACAUUUUUCAUACAUCUUAUCAGUAUGGUAUGUUGCCCCUUUUUUGUACGGAUGAGGGCUGUGUUGCAAACAUUUAACAGGAACCUGUUUCGUUAAGGUGGCUGAGCAGGAAUGUGGUACAUGACAUGUAGGGAAGGAAGACAGGGACCAAUUCAUUGCAACAUUAAAAGCCCUUUUAAGGGCGACCCAUUCCUACUGGCUCAAAUGCAACUCUUCCCGUACCUCCCUAUAUAUCAUGUGCAAUUUUCUUGCUUGGCUUAUGCUUCUACUCUGAAAAUGGAGGAAGCAGGUUCAAGUGUUGGAAACAUAGUCCAGUUCCGCAUGGUGCCAUCGCUCAAAGACAGAAUUAGGAUAUUUAGUAAAGUGGUCUGAAGGCAUACAUUGUACUUAGAUGUUAUGUUAUUUUCCACAUCUUUUAAUGUAGUAUGAUAAAAGAUUGUAUAGAAAACACCCAGGACCAGUUACACCAUACAUUACCACACCAAAAUUCUGGUGAUCUGCAUGAUCCAUUCCUACAGUUUGUUGUUACGCAACGGAUCAUCAGUCAUUUUUCAGAUUUCACUCUUAUUCUUAGGCUAAGGUGAGACUGAGCCCCUCGGAAAUCAGGCCUUUUGGUAACCCAGUUGUACCAGCCCCAGAUGAUAGGUGAGAGAAAUGGAACAUUUGGUGGAAUUAGAAUUGGCAGGGGAAACUGAAAUGCUUGGAGAACACGUGUCACAAUGCCACUU